GAGCAUAUGAUGAUUUUUUUUUUUUCACUACAACGGUGCUUCCGAUAAACCAUGCGGAUUAUAUAAAUCGAGCUUUUUAAAACUGAUGCUCC
rnacentral:snoRNA from 1 species